AUCGUGUUUCACUUAGCAUGGCAAGUCACAAUAUUUUUCUGUCCCUGCAGUGAAAGACUGCAGUAAGUUGAUCUUGCUAACAAGAGAUAAUUAUUAGCUUCCUUGGGAAUGUUACUGUAUAUGCAUUGCUAAGCAUUCCAGGAGGAUUAAUAUUUCUGUGAAUUUUGGACAAGACGAGGUAGCGGCCCAGAGAGACAGGACUGUUUGAAUAUUUGUCCUUGCUCCAUUUGCCUCUCCAUCACUGGUAAUUUGUUAAUGCUGCUUGUGUUCCAUCUGAGGUCACGUGGAGAAUUAAUGCACCUCAACUGACUAAUACACCCAAUUCCAAAGAGAGAACAAGGUAAAAUAAAAAUUGAAAGCAGUCAAGAUUCCAGAUGGAGUUGGGGAUCCAUAGAAUGAUUUUUUUAAAAGUGUCUUCCCCUGCAACUCACCACCCUUUCCUUUUUAUUUGAAUUUCCUGCCAAUGGACUUAAGCAUCAUUUAUCUACAUUAAAAAAAACCCUGCUUACUCUGGAAGGUGCUAAGACAGACCUCCAGAGUGUCAGCCCCCAGAAGAAGCCUUGUGUCC
rnacentral:lncRNA from 1 species